rnacentral:rRNA from 1 species
CGGGUAAUACCGGAUGACCUCGGGAGAGCAAAGGUCCGCCGCCCUGGGAGGGGCCCACGUGGUAUUACCUAGUUGGCGGGGUAACGGCCCACCAAGGGGGAGAUGCCUAGCGGGUGUGAGAGCACGACCCGCGCCACUGGCACUGAGACACUGGCCAGACACCUACGGGUGGCUGCAGUCGAGGAUCUUCGGCAAUGUGCGCAAGCACGACCGAGCGAUGCCGCGUGUGCGACGAAGGCCUUCGGGUUGUAAAGCACUGUCGAGGGGGAGAAAACCGUAAGGUUGAUCUAUCCCUGGAGGAAGCACGGGCUAAGUUCGUGCCAGCAGCCGCGGUAAGACGAACCGUGCGAACGUUGUUCGGAAUCACUGGGCUUAAAGGGCGCGUAGGCGGGCUGCCAAGUUUGGGGUGAAAUCCUCCGGCUCAACCGGGGAAGUGCCUCGAAUACUGGCGGCCUCGAGGGGGGUAGGGGCGUGCGGAACUGUGGGUGGAGCGGUGAAAUGCGUUGAUAUCCACAGGAACUCCGGUGGCGAAGGCGGCACGCUGGACCUUUUCUGACGCUGAGGCGCGAAAGCCAGGGGAGCGAACGGGAUUAGAUACCCCGGUAGUCCUGGCCCUAAACGAUGGGAACUAGGUAGUAGUCCGGACAUGGGAUUA